rnacentral:lncRNA from 9 species
ACUUCUGUGAAAGGUGAUUGAUUAUAUCUGGACAAUUUUUUGAUCAUGGUUUCAUAAGGAAGAGACUUAUCAGCCUCUCUGAGUUAGAUUUAUAUCCCAUCUCUGUAAUUCAGUUUUCGAGAUUAUGUAUUUCUUCCUUGCUAUUACUAGGAAGAAAGAACUGGAAUGUGUGAUGGUAUAUUAGUGUGAAAAUGGAUUGUUUGGUUUUGUUCUAUUUUGAUAGGAUAAUGGCUUACAUAUAAUUUUGUGAUAUACUAGUCCCUCUUUGCAUAGUUAUUCAAAGCAAGAUUUGGAGGCUCUUGAACAGAUUUGCUGUGUUCAAGGAGUAAGACUUAUAUCACUGGGCACCCUUGGGUCAGCACUUCACCAAGAGUCUGAGUAGACAUAAGGGGAAGAACAGAGCUGCAGCAAUAAGGGCACCUCCAUGGUUUUUUCCCUUAUCACAUAUCCUUUUAAAAUUCUACAAGGGGGGGGGGAGUUCCUGUUAUGGUGAAGUAGAAACGAAUCCAACUAGGAACCAUGAGGUCACGAGUUCAAUCCCUGGCCUCGCUCAGUGGGUUAAGGAUCUGGCGUUGCUGUAAGCUGUGGUAUAGGUCACAGACUCUUGGCUUGGAUCCACAUUGCUGUGGCUGUGGUGUAGGCCAGCAGCUACAGCUCCAAUUGGACCCCUCGUCUGGGAACCUCCAUAUGCUACAGGUGCGGCCCUAAAAAGCAAAAAAAAAAAAGAAAAAAAAAGAAAAAGAGGAAAAAAGAAAAGAAAAAACUACAAGGAGGAGUUCCCAUUGUGGUUCAGCAGGUUAAGAACCCAACUAGUAUCCAUGAGGAUGUGGGUUGGAUCCCUGGCCUUGCUCAGUGGGUUUAGGAUCUGGCAUUGCCUGGGCUGUGGUGUAGGCUGGCAGCUGCAACUCCAAUUCAACCCCUAACCCAGGAACUUCCAUAUGCCUCAGCUGCAGGCCUAAAAAGAAGAAAAUAAAAUAAAAUUCUUCAAGGAGGUUUUGACAUUCAUACUUUUUGUCAUGCCAGCCAUUCUCACCUGCUGAUUCUGUGGAAACUCCCAUGAGUAAUGUCUCCUAGCCUUGACAAAACUUCCGUAAGAAAACAGGCAACUAGGAGCUUUCUUGUAGCACAGUGGGUUAAGGAUCCACAGUGCAGCAGCUUGGGUAUGGGUUCGAUCUCUGGCUUAGGAACUUCCACAUGCUGCGGGGUGGCCAACCCUUCCUGCCCCCCCAAACCAACUUUCUUGAAAUGUGUAUCACUAGAUUACUGUGUGUUGCCCACCCAUGUUCUUCUCAUCUGUUAGCUUCCUGUGCACUCACAUUUAUUCACUUACGUUUUUAGUAUCCUAAAUAUCCUGAAGAAUAUGAAGAGUCGGUAUUAUGUAGAAUUGUUUUUGUGUGGACUAGAAAUAUAUACUUCCCUUUUUAGUUGUGAGAAAAAUGUGAAAUUAGAAUCUUAUUCUAUGUAGCCUUGAUUAAAGUGAAAUAUGAAAAGCAAAAAAAAUCAUGCAUUGAGAGGAAAGUGUCUCCCUAGACUUAGAGAUAUUUUUCAUUGAUAGUUUAUACUGUGUUAGGUCUUGCUAGAAAGUGAGAAGAAAACUGAAACUAAAAAGAGCUUUAAAUAACUGAAUAAUUCCAGUGAAUAUGAAUCCCCUAAGACUCUUUCAUUUUAGUUCUGUAUCCUGAUAGAUUUACUUUUUAAAUUUUUUCCAUUCGAUAUAAAUAAAAUAGUAUGCUCAUAUUGUUAGAUGGUUCUUAGAAACUAGACUGUCUAUAGUCACACGUGAUAUAAAACUGGAGUCAAAAAACUUUUCUGCAGAAAAUAGUUAUAUAAUUCCUCCAAUAAAUAUCUAUUAUUUACUUGUUAUAACUAUCACUGAAUUUUUUUUCCUUUGCUUUCUUCCUUUGUUCAGAGUGGGAAGAAAACAGUUCAAUUAGCUUUGCUUUAAGCAGCUGUUUUUGGAAUGAAGUGAUUCUAGCUUGUUUCAGAUUCAAACACAACAUGAAGCUCGUUAUUUUUACAUUCAUAAUUGAGUUGUCUCUUGGUAACUGCAGGGGAUUGGUUCCAGGACCCACAUCCCUAUGUCAAAAUCAAAAGAUGCUCGUCUCAUAUGAAAUAGCAAACUUUUGCCUAUAAACUUUGCACAAACUCCUGUAUAUUUUAAAUUGUCUUUAGAUUACUUAUAAUACCUAAUACAAUGUAAAUACUAUGCAAGUAGUUGUAAAUACAAUGUAAAUGAUACGUAAAUAGUCGCCAGUGUGGCAAAUUCCAGUUUUGCUUUUUGGAACUUUCUGGAACUUAAAAAAAAAUUUUUUUUAACUGCAUUUCUUUGAACACAUGGAUGCAGAACCUGCAGAUACAGAGGGCUGACU